rnacentral:tRNA from 1 species
GCUUCCAUAGCUCAGUUGGUAGAGCAUCGGCUUUGUAAUCCGAAGGUCAUCAGUUCAAAUCUGAUUGGGAGCU